rnacentral:lncRNA from 1 species
CUCUCCGCCGCCCGCAAAACCUUGAUUUCGGCGGAUCUAGGGCUUCCGGCGAAGCACACACAACUUCAAUCUCACCAACCACGGACGACGCCUCCCCCGCUCAGGUAGCCCUCCCAGAGGUCGCUCAUCACCGCGGAACAGAAGGGUCAAGGGAGGAGGCGGCGAAACCCUGACGGCGAAGCACCAUGAAUGGUGGAGGAGAGAAGAGGCGACCUGACGGCGAGAGACGGCGUGAGAAGAGAGGCAAGAGGCAGGCAGAGGCGGCGACUAGCCCUAAUUCAUGGGGGAGCGGAUUUACAGAGGGGGAAGGGGGGAGACGGAGGCGGCGGCGGCGGAACAGAGGGGGAAGAGGGAGGCGGCGCCGGUGGAACAGAGGGGAAGUGAGCGGCGGCGCCGGUGGAUUUGCAGAGGGGAAAUGGUGGAGCGAUUUAGAGAGGGAGAAUGAGGGAGAUGGUAGAGAGAGAGAGAGAGAGAGAGAGAG